GUGAGGAAUAUUGCGCAAUGGAGGCAACUCUGACGCAGCCAUGCCGCGUGCAGGAAGAAGGCGCUACGCGUUGUAAACUGCUUUUAACCGGGAAGAAACCCCAGGACGUGUACUGGGUUGACGGUACCGGAGGAAUAAGCACCGGCUAACUUCGUGCCAGCAGCCGCGGUAAUACGAAGGGUGCAAGCGUUAUCCGGAUUCAUUGGGUUUAAAGGGUGCGUAGGCGGAGCGUUAAGUCAGUGGUGAAAUCCUGCAGCUUAACUGUAGACUUGCCAUUGAUACUGGCGCUCUUGAGUGCGCUUGAAGUGGGCGGAAUGUGCCGUGUAGCGGUGAAAUGCUCAGAUAUGGCACAGAACACCAAUUGCGAAGGCAGCUCACUAAGGCGAUACUGACGCUGAGGCACGAAAGCGUGGGGAUCGAACAGGAUUAGAAACCCGUGUAGUCC
rnacentral:rRNA from 1 species